GCUGGGCAUGGUGGCACACGCCUGUAAUCCCAGCUGCUUGGGAGGCUGGGGCAAGAGGAUUGUAAGUUGGAGGCCAGCCUGGGUAAUUUAGUGAGAUUCUGCCUCAA
rnacentral:sRNA from 1 species